UCGAACGGUGAAGCCCCGCUUGCGGGGUGGAUCAGUGGCGAACGGGUGAGUAACACGUGAGCAACCUGCCCCUGACUCUGGGAUAAGCGCUGGAAACGGCGUCUAAUACUGGAUACGAGACGUGAUCGCAUGGUCAACGUUUGGAAAGAUUUUUCGGUUGGGGAUGGGCUCGCGGCCUAUCAGCUUGUUGGUGAGGUAAUGGCUCACCAAGGCGUCGACGGGUAGCCGGCCUGAGAGGGUGACCGGCCACACUGGGACUGAGACACGGCCCAGACUCCUACGGGAGGCAGCAGUGGGGAAUAUUGCACAAUGGGCGCAAGCCUGAUGCAGCAACGCCGCGUGAGGGAUGACGGCCUUCGGGUUGUAAACCUCUUUUAGCAGGGAAGAAGCGAGAGUGACGGUACCUGCAGAAAAAGCACCGGCUAACUACGUGCCAGCAGCCGCGGUAAUACGUAGGGUGCAAGCGUUAUCCGGAAUUAUUGGGCGUAAAGAGCUCGUAGGCGGUUUGUCGCGUCUGCUGUGAAAUCUGGGGGCUCAACCCCCAGCCUGCAGUGGGUACGGGCAGACUAGAGUGCGGUAGGGGAGAUUGGAAUUCCUGGUGUAGCGGUGGAAUGCGCAGAUAUCAGGAGGAACACCGAUGGCGAAGGCAGAUCUCUGGGCCGUAACUGACGCUGAGGAGCGAAAGGGUGGGGAGCAAACAGGCUUAGAUACCCUGGUAGUCCACCCCGUAAACGUUGGGAACUAGUUGUGGGGUCCAUUCCACGGAUUCCGUGACGCAGCUAACGCAUUAAGUUCCCCGCCUGGGGAGUACGGGCCGCAAGGCUAAAACUCAAAGGAAUUGACGGGGACCCGCACAAGCGGCGGAGCAUGCGGAUUAAUUCGAUGCAACGCGAAGAACCUUACCAAGGCUUGACAUAUACGAGAACGGGCCAGAAAUGGUCAACUCUUUGGACACUCGUAAACAGGUGGUGCAUGGUUGUCGUCAGCUCGUGUCGUGAGAUGUUGGGUUAAGUCCCGCAACGAGCGCAACCCUCGUUCUAUGUUGCCAGCACGUAAUGGUGGGAACUCAUGGGAUACUGCCGGGGUCAACUCGGAGGAAGGUGGGGAUGACGUCAAAUCAUCAUGCCCCUUAUGUCUUGGGCUUCACGCAUGCUACAAUGGCCGGUACAAUGGGCUGCAAUACCGUGAGGUGGAGCGAAUCCCAAAAAGCCGGUCCCAGUUCGGAUUGAGGUCUGCAACUCGACCUCAUGAAGUCGGAGUCGCUAGUAAUCGCAGAUCAGCAACGCUGCGGUGAAUACGUUCCCGGGUCUUGUACACACCGCCCGUCAAGUCAUGAAAGUCGGUAACACCUGAAGCCGGUGGCCUAACCCUUCGGGGAGGGA
rnacentral:rRNA from 1 species